CCAAGGGGGCAGCCAGGAUGCCCUCUUGGUCCCUCCCUUCCAGCCCAAGAGCAACUCGGAUUUAGCUGCUUGAGCAAAAGCCCCCCUUCCUUAUGGAGGGGGGGCUUUUGGCUGCACCUUAUUCUCCCCCCACCCACCCAGUCCUCAGGACCAACAACAGGGCACGCCCUCAUGGAAGGUGAGCCACCUGCUUUCCAGGCGGCCGGACCCAGGCUGGCUUCCCUGCGGGCCCGUUCUGGGGCCCGGGUGGCCAGGCCAAAACUUGCCCGAACACCUGUGAUUCAGGUAUCGUGAUGCAGAGACGGGAGCCGUCUGCUCCUGCCUCCCUGGGCACAGGGCGCGCGCCCGGGCUGCGCAACCCAAGGGACUGGACUCGCUGGCUUUGGCGAGGGUGCCCAGGCCUUGCCCUCCUGGCGGUUUCUCAUCACGCUCAGCAAAGGGGAGCAGGUGAGGGCCGCUCCGAGGGUCCCUCCUCAAGCAGGAUGUGUGCUGGAACAACCCGCCAAAAGCACCACUUCGGGAGGUGGGAUCCUGGCUUUGGGCCUCCAGCGCAAAGCAGCUCUCGGAAUCUGAAAUCUGAGUGCUUCACGCUGCAUCCCGGCCUUCACAGGACGCUGACCGAGCGACGCCUGACUGCGACAAGCAGAUCCCCCCUGCCAGGGUGGCUCCGGCGCGCUUCAGAGGUAUAUGCCCUCUGUCUUCCUCUGUGAUUGAACUGCUUUCCUGGUUGGAUCCCUACUUCUGAUGUACUUAAAGAAGUUCUUAUUAUUUCUUAUGAUGCUUUUAUCAAUGUGCUUCUCAAAAUCUCUGUUUAGCAUUCCUGAUUGUCCCUUGCAUUUGUUUUGCCAGAAUUUAUAUUCCUUCCUGUUCUCCUCAUUAGGACAAACUAUCCAUUUUUUAAACAAGGUUUUCUUGCUUUUAAUGACCUCCCAUACUGAAUUUAUAAACCACACUAGUGUCCUCUUGGAUUUGGCAGUCCACUUUCUUCUUUUAGUUAUGCAUUCUAAUUGAACCUCCAUUAUUAUAUUUGUAACUAGUCUCCGUGCCUUUUGGAAUAAAUGGACUCUUCUAACUUUC
rnacentral:lncRNA from 1 species